AAUCCCAGCUACAAGGGAGGCUGAGGCGAGAGAAUCAACCUUUUCGCUGGGGAACAUUUUAAACAGUGAAAUAGAUUUGUGCAUUUAGAAGCAUUGCUUUGGUUAUACCAUAGGGGAUGGAUUGGUGAAGAUGAGAAGAGAGUUUGGGAGUAACAGAAAACCCUCAAGGUCUCAGAUGGGGAGUUUCCUCAAGGUCUCAGAUGGGUGGCCUGACUAUAGUGUUGGCACUGAGAUUGAAAAGCAGAAAAAGUUAUUAGGACUAAUCUUUUGGCAUAUUUUACCUUAUAGAAUAGAGGUUGGCAAGUUUUU
rnacentral:lncRNA from 1 species